AACGAACGCUGGCGGCAGGCUUAACACAUGCAAGUCGAGCGCCCCGCAAGGGGAGCGGCAGACGGGUGAGUAACGCGUGGGAAUCUACCCAUCUCUACGGAAUAACGCAUAGAAACGUGUGCUAAUACCGUAUACGUCCUUCGGGAGAAAGAUUUAUCGGAGAUGGAUGGGCCCGCGUUGGAUUAGCUAGUUGGUGGGGUAAAGGCCUACCAAGGCGACGAUCCAUAGCUGGUCUGAGAGGAUGAUCAGCCACACUGGGACUGAGACACGGCCCAGACUCCUACGGGAGGCAGCAGUGGGGAAUAUUGGACAAUGGGCGCAAGCCUGAUCCAGCCAUGCCGCGUGAGUGAUGAAGGCCCUAGGGUUGUAAAGCUCUUUCACCGGUGAAGAUAAUGACGGUAACCGGAGAAGAAGCCCCGGCUAACUUCGUGCCAGCCGCCGCAGUAAUAC
rnacentral:rRNA from 1 species